ACGAAGGCUCCGAGAUAUUGGUUUAAUUUUCGGAUCUCGACCAGGUUGUCGUUGAUCGAUGCGGUGGUCAUGAUCUGUUGAGAAUGAUAUUUCUUUUUAAAUAAUUUUGCGUCGUCGACGAUGGAAAAACAAGUCGGCUCUAUGAAAUGAGAUCGUGGUCGAGCCGAGUUCCGAUUUCGACGUGGCACAAUAUCGACUUGGGAUCUCGUAAAAUCAAUCGUAGUCGCCAUUCCAUAUUUACCCGAUUAUUUUGAAGAUUUGUAUACGGAGAUUCGUUUCGGUGCCUUUUAAUAAUG
rnacentral:misc_RNA from 1 species